rnacentral:rRNA from 1 species
GGGGAAUAUUGGGCAAUGGACGCAAGUCUGACCCAGCAACGCCGCGUGAAGGAAGAAGGCUUUCGGGUUGUAAACUUCUUUUAAGGGGGAAGAGUAGAAGACGGUACCAGAGGAAUAAGCACCGGCUAACUCCGUGCCAGCAGCCGCGGUAAUACGGAGGGUGCGAGCGUUAUCCGGAUUUACUGGGUUUAAAGGGUGCGUAGGCGGGCUAUUAAGUCAGAGGUGAAAUCUCCGGGCUCAACCUGGAAACUGCCUUUGAUACUAUUAGCCUUGAAUUAUGUUGAGGUUGGCGGAAUAUAACAUGUAGCGGUGAAAUGCUUAGAUAUGUUAUGGAACACCGAUUGCGAAGGCAGCUGGCUAAACAUAUAUUGACGCUGAUGCACAAAAGCGUGGGUAGCGAACA